GACAGAGGUGCCGAGCGUUAGGCGGCAUCACUGGGCUUAAAGCGUGUGUAGGCGGACCGUUCAGUGUCUUGUGAAAUCCCACGGCUCAACCGUGGAACGGCUGGGCAUACUGGCGGUCUUGAGCGGUCCAGGGGCGAGCGGAACAAGCGGUGGAGCGGUGAAAUGCGUAGAUAUCGCUUGGAACGCCGACGGUGAAAACAGCUCGCUGGGGACCCGCUGACGCUGAGACACGAAAGCCAGGGGAGCGAACGGG
rnacentral:rRNA from 1 species